AUAGACUGAAAAGGAAGAUGUCAGAAUAUUUCAUUUUGCUGUGUGGCAAAGGUAAGGUGGCAGGUGUGUUGUGUUUCAGAAUAUUAUGCUAUUAACAUGGUCACUGCACACAUGCUCUUAAUAUGUUGUACUAUUGGCAAUGGUGAUUAAGAGCUAAUUUUUUAAUUCCAAUUUUUAGAAAAUGAAGUUAAGGUUCCAUAAAAAUAGCUUUGGUGAAAUUUAAGUAAACAUUUUAAAAAUGUUACAAUUACAAUUGAGGUUUUACACAUUAAAUGAUGUCAGUGUCAUUUUCUCAAGAGUUAGAGCCUCUUCCUCAAAAUUUGAUUAUUAGACGAGUGUUGGUUGUAAGUAUUUGUUUUUUUUUUUUUUGUCUGUAAGCAGAUGACAGAGUUGAUCUGGAUUUGCAAGCAUUCAUAUCAUGUGACACAGUAAUGCAUGCAACUGCACAUCCUGUUGUGUUUGCAUUUAUAGAUAAAUCACAGUGCUCUCUGAUAGAGUUAUCAUGAUUUAAGCUGGAAAAGGGUUUGGUCUGAUCUACUGUAGGACAUCAUCAUGGGUUCUCCUUUCUCAAAGGCUGAUAAUAAAAACAAUACAAAAACUUCUUCUGCACAUUGUCAGGAAUCAGGACUAAGGAAAAGAAAGAGUAAUGAGUCAUUCCAAGAGAGUAAGUGUGAUUUCUUUUUAACUUACAUUUUGUUUAAAUGCAUAUCAGGAAGGUUGACCACAAGCUCAUCUGCACUGACAGAUUUCACAAAUAUUAAACAGGCCAUAUUUCUAAAUCUUGUUUUUAUCCAUAAAAUUAUUCAUUAAGUAGACGCUUUUAUCCAAAGCGACUUACAAUUGAGGAAUAAACCAUUCAUUAUAAAGAGGCAAAUAAACACAGGACAUCCUUGUAAUAUAAAGUUUCAACCAUUGCUCAGAUUAGUAAUUAAGGAAAGAGAAUGCAACGUUUUUUUUUAUUUUAUUUAUUUUUUAUUUAGAAUGAAGUCAAAUGGUGACAAAAGAGAUGAGUUUUCAGAUGUCGCUUGAAAAUAUAGAUCAAGCGAGGUGUGACAUGGGCUCUUUUGGGCUCAUUGAAGACCAGGCGUGGCGCUGCAAUAUAGGGCUGAAAUGACUCGUUGACAUUAUCGACAAUGUUGACAAUUAAAAAAAAAAUGUCAACAAAUAUGUAUGAGCCUGCAACAAUGCGGUUAGACCAGUGUGGCACUGUAGUGCAAGAUUGUAAUUCAGCCCUCCUGUAUGCAAUUCAAUAAAGGAAGACACAAUGCUUCAGAGUAGGGAUGGGCGACAGGGCCAACCAAAGCCUUUAUGGGGCCCUAAGCAGAAUUUUAUUUGCGGACCCCUCAGUGCCGCCAAUACGACUGAUUAUUGUUAAUGCUUGAUUAUUCACACACUAUAAAUCUAACACACCCAUUAUCAGUUUUAUUUGCUGUAGCUGUUUUGCUUACAUCAUACCAAUGUUUUUACUCUUCUAUGAUUUUUAACUGCAACAGUAGCAAACCCACAAGAGUGGUCAGGUGUUAAUUUGCACUUUAACAUUUAAAGUCUUACACUUAAUGGCAUACUUAAUGUGGUGUACUGAAAAGUAGCUAAAUAAACCAGCAGACAAUGCAUUUACAGAACAGAAUGUUAUUUUAACAACAUAAAUUAUUAUACACAGCAGCAAGCCAUCUGUACAUAAAAAAACAAACUCUUAAUCUAUAAUAAUGAUAUUUAAAUAUAAUAGCAAAGACCCCAAAGGUAGACUAAGGUAGGAAGGUUUUUUUUACACAGAAGACAAAACUUUCAUCUAAAACUAGCUUACUAAAAGUGUUAUUUUAUAUUAUGUCGGGGGUUGCCAACAUUGGUUGCCUGGCUGAAGUGAGAUGCAUGACUAUAUUUAAAAAUAAAAAAAAUACACACUACCCUUUACCCACUCUUCGUCUAUAGUGUACAUUUUUUAAACACUUAAAAUAUUUUAAAGCCUAUAUUAUUUUUUAACUCUA
rnacentral:lncRNA from 1 species